UACGUAGGUGGCAAGCGUUAUCCGGAAUUACUGGGCGUAAAGCGCACGCAGGCGGUCUUUUAAGUUUGACGUGAAAGCUCCCGGCUUAACUGGGAGAGGUCGUUGAAGACUGGAAGACUUGAGGCAAUGAGAGGGGUGUAGAAUUCCCGGUGUAGUGGUGGAACGCGUAGAUAUCGGGGGGAAUACCAGUGGCGAAAGCGGCACCCUAGCGUUAGCCUGACGCUCAUGUGCGAAAGCGUGGGGAGCGAACGGG
rnacentral:rRNA from 1 species